rnacentral:rRNA from 1 species
UGGGGAAUUUUGCACAAUGGGGGAAACCCUGAUGCAGCGACGCCGCGUGAUUUAGAAGGCCUUCGGGUUGUAAAAAUCUUUUUUAUGGGAUGAAAAUGACAGUACCAUAAGAAUAAGGUCCGGCUAAAUACGUGCCAGCAGCCGCGGUAAUACGUAUGGACCGAGCGUUGUCCGGAAUCAUUGGGCGUAAAGGGUACGUAGGCGGCAAUGCAAGUCAGAUGUAAAAGGCAAAGGCUCAACCUUUGUAAGCAUCUGAAACUGUAUAGCUUGAGAAGUGUAGAGGCAAGUGGAAUUUUUAGUGUAGCGGUGAAAUGCGUAGAUAUUAAAAAGAAUACCGGUGGCGAAGGCGACUUGCUGGGCACAAUCUGACGCUGAGGAACGAAAGCGUGGGGAGCAAACAGG